UGCCAGCCGCCGCGGUAAUACGGAGGGUGCGAGCAUUAAUCGGAUUUAUUGGGCGUAAAGGGGGCGUAGGCGGGAAUAUAAGUCAGCCGUGAAAUCCCGGGGCUCAACCUCGGAACUGCGUUUGAAACUAUAUUUCUUGAGGCAAGGCGGAGAAAACGGAAUUCCACAUGUAGCGGUGAAAUGCGUAGAUAUGUGGAAGAACACCAGUGGCGAAGGCGGUUUUCUAGCUUUGACCUGACGCUGAUGCCCGAAAGCUAGGGGAGCGAACAGGAUUAGAUA
rnacentral:rRNA from 1 species